UCAGGCCAAACAUGCCAGAAACAUGGCAGUAAAAUUCUGUUGGUCAAUAGUGGUGAAGGUCUGGUUAAGAUCACAGCCUGGGGACAUGAGAAGAUGGAUAGAGGGACCCUGCAGGAGCAAGACCGGCCAUCUUAUCAGAGGACUUAGGGUCUGGGACAUGUGAUGAAGACUUUUCAGGAUACACUCAAAUGGUGGAUAUAUCACACACCACUGGAGGAUGAAAAAGGAAGUAAUGAGGGUAAUGAGCCAUGAGCACUGUUGGAAAUCAUUCCACGCAGGCAGCCUCAUCCUCUGGAUCGAACAGAUAUUAUUGGCACAGUACCAACUGCUGGAAGAUGAGAGAGGAAAAAAAAGAAGAAAGAAGGAAACAGUGAUCAU